UACGUAGGGUGCAAGCGUUGUCCGGAAUUAUUGGGCGUAAAGAGCUCGUAGGCGGUCUGUCGCGUCUGCCGUGAAAGUCCGGGGCUCAACUCCGGAUCUGCGGUGGGUACGGGCAGACUAGAGUGAUGUAGGGGAGACUGGAAUUCCUGGUGUAGCGGUGAAAUGCGCAGAUAUCAGGAGGAACACCGAUGGCGAAGGCAGGUCUCUGGGCCGAUAUCGACGCUGAGGAGCGAAAGACGUGGGGAGCGAACAGG
rnacentral:rRNA from 1 species